rnacentral:rRNA from 1 species
AGUGAACGCUGGCGGUAGGCCUAACACAUGCAAGUCGAACGGCAGCACAGUAAGAGCUUGCUCUUACGGGUGGCGAGUGGCGGACGGGUGAGGAAUACAUCGGAAUCUACUUUUUCGUGGGGGAUAACGUAGGGAAACUUACGCUAAUACCGCAUACGACCUACGGGUGAAAGCCGGGGAUCUUCGGACCUUGCGCGAUUGAAUGAGCCGAUGUCGGAUUAGCUAGUUGGCGGGGUAAAGGCCCACCAAGGCGACGAUCCGUAGCUGGUCUGAGAGGAUGAUCAGCCACACUGGAACUGAGACACGGUCCAGACUCCUACGGGGGGCAGCAGUGGGGAAUAUUGGACAAUGGGCGCAAGCCUGAUCCAGCCAUACCGCGUGGGUGAAGAAGGCCUUCGGGUUGUAAAGCCCUUUUGUUGGGAAAGAAAAGCAGCAGGUUAAUACCCCGCUGUUCUGACGGUACCCAAAGAAUAAGCACCGGCUAACUUCGUG